rnacentral:tRNA from 1 species
CCGUCGAUAGCUCAGUUGGUAGAGCGGUGGACUGUAGAAUUGUGUUACGAGACGUAACCGCGAGUGCAAGGUAUCCAUAGGUCGCUGGUUCAACUCCGGCUCGACGGA